UUGAGGCUGUGAAGAAUUUUGUGUUUAGUGGGUGUCGUACCUUUUGCAUCAUGAUUCUCUGAAGGAGUUUAAUUAUUUUAAUGUCUCGAAAGGCAGUGAUCCGAUCUUGUCUCGUUUUUAGAACUUAGAGGUCGAUGGGCAAUCGAGGUUGAAAGAUGGGUUCGGAGGUGAUAAGCAUUACGUACUGUCUCAUAGCUAGUUGCUGGAGUUUGUCUUUGAAUUAUUGUUCUGUUGCUUGGAUGUGAUGGGACGGUCAAGAGGGCUUUUCAGGUUGAUUGUGUGGCUAGGUUAGAGGUACCUUGUCUUAGCUUCGUGUUGUGACGAUUGUUUCUGGUUGUGAGCUCUUUGGUGGAAUGCUCCAGGCGGUGUGCUAAUGGUUUGUUUCUAAGUGUGGGGUAAUGAGUAGUUUAAGUGGCUUUCUUUUUUCUCGGAGGCCUCCGGUCUGUUUCUUAAAAACAUUUCCAUCGGGGAGUUUUGAUGGUAGUGCCUGCCCGGUGUUUUAAUAAAUGGCCGCAGUAUCUUGACUGUGCUAAGGUAGCAUAAUUAGUUGCCUUAUAAUUGAAGGAUUGUUUGAAUGGUUUGACCAGGGGGUGUGUCUAGAUGGGGGCUGUUGCUGAAAUUAGGUGGUUGGUGCAGAUCCCAACGGUUCUUAAUUAGACGGAAAGACCCCGAGAGCUUUAACAAUUUUUGUUUACUUGGGGCAAGGGCAGAUAUUUCAUGUGCUUUCAGAUCCUUUGGGAAAGAGUUUUAGUUACCUCGGGGAUAACUAGGUAAGAGGCGAGGAGAGGCCUUAUCGAUUCGUCUGUUUACUAUCUCGAUGUUGACUUAGGAUUAGCAUGAGGGUGUAGGAGCUCUUGUGUGGAGGUCUGUUCGACCGUGGUAUCCUUCAUGAGUUGAGUUAAGACCGGCGUGAGCCAGGUCGGUUCUUAUCUUUUGUUGCUGUGAUUUCGUACGAAAGGAUCAUUCAUAGUUUAGGUU
rnacentral:rRNA from 1 species